UCGCAGGGAUGACUUCGGCGCAGGCGUGGUUUCCUUCUCUCUUUUGCAGGCGGGCCGCGUGCGUGGUCGUCAUGGCGGCCUCUGUCCCGGCUCGAGUCUGCAUGUGGUCUCGUGCCUUUGGCGAUGGUCUGCCACUGGCAUCUGCAGAGAUGGCAAGAAGCAGAUCUGCAAGUCGAAGCCUAAAAGUAACGAGCGGAGCCGUGAAAUGAGUGUAGUCUUUGGGGAGAAAAAGAAAAAAAUGGAAGACAAGCAUCUUAAGAGAUGUUGAGUGUGAAGAUCUAUAAGUGGUGUAGUUUCAAAUUUAAUUUCUGAGACCAAAAAAGGACUUUCCAGAACUGCCUGGAUCUGAAGCAGAACUUUCGAGUGUAAAAGAAGACCUUUUCGGUAAGCUUUUUGUUUCCCCUGCCCUGGACUCCACUGCUUGACCUGAAGCAGCAGAUACUGCUCCCUUCCCUGAAUACAUGCUGUCGUGCCGGGUCAUCUGUGAACCUUACCAGCCUGUGUGGCAGCUUGGAAACUGCUGGAUGGAGCCUCUGACACAUGGCCUAAUAAAUAACUAGUUAAAACAAAUGCUUCCAGAGAGCCUUUUUUAAAAAAAAAAAAAAAAUUGAGAAUGAGUGAUAGAGACCACUAGUGUCACUGACGCAGAAUGGCAUGGACACUGUCCCCUGCCUUCUUGGACACAGAAUGGCACGGACUCUGGUCCCCGUCUUCCGUUUCCAGCCACAAUGCACCUAGAGGGUGGCAGAGGCUGCCUGCCAGGUGGCUGGGUUGGCUGUGGUGCUCAAAGCCUGAAGGCUGUGCAAAGUUCC